AAAAGAAAUCAACCGAGAUUCCCCCAGUAGCGGCGAGCGAACGGGGAGGAGCCCAGAGCCUGAAUCAGCAUGUGUGUUAGUGGAAGCGUCUGGAAAGGCGCGCGAUACAGGGUGACAGCCCCGUACACAAAAGCGCAUGUGCUGUGAGCUCGAUGAGUAGGGCGGGACACGUGGUAUCCUGUCUGAAUAUGGGGGGACCAUCCUCCAAGGCUAAAUACUCCUGACUGACCGAUAGUGAACCAGUACCGUGAGGGAAAGGCGAAAAGAACCCCGGCGAGGGGAGUGAAAAAGAACCUGAAACCGUGUACGUACAAGCAGUGGGAGCACCCUUUGGGGUGUGACUGCGUACCUUUUGUAUAAUGGGUCAGCGACUUAUAUUCUGUAGCAAGGUUAACCGCAUAGGGGAGCCGGAGGGAAACCGAGUCUUAAUUGGGCGUUAAGUUGCAGGGUAUAGACCCGAAACCCGGUGAUCUAGCCAUGGGCAGGUUGAAGGUUGGGUAACACUAACUGGAGGACCGAACCGACUAAUGUUGAAAAAUUAGCGGAUGACCUGUGGCUGGGGGUGAAAGGCCAAUCAAACCGGGAGAUAGCUGGUUCUCCCCGAAAGCUAUUUAGGUAGCGCCUCGUGAAUUCAUCUCCGGGGGUAGAGCACUGUUUCGGCUAGGGGGCCAUCCCGGCUUACCAACCCGAUGCAAACUGCGAAUACCGGAGAAUGUUAUCACGGGAGACACACGGCGGGUGCUAACGUCCGUCGUGAAGAGGGAAACAACCCAGACCGCCAGCUAAGGUCCCAAAGUCAUGGUUAAGUGGGAAACGAUGUGGGAAGGCCCAGACAGCCAGGAUGUUGGCUUAGAAGCAGCCAUCAUUUAAAGAAAGCGUAAUAGCUCACUGGUCGAGUCGGCCUGCGCGGAAGAUGUAACGGGGCUAAACCAUGCACCGAAGCUGCGGCAGCGACACUCAGGUGUUGUUGGGUAGGGGAGCGUUCUGUAAGCCUGCGAAGGUGUGUCGUGAGGCAUGCUGGAGGUAUCAGAAGUGCGAAUGCUGACAUAAGUAACGAUAAAGCGGGUGAAAAGCCCGCUCGCCGGAAGACCAAGGGUUCCUGUCCAACGUUAAUCGGGGCAGGGUGAGUCGACCCCUAAGGCGAGGCCGAAAGGCGUAGUCGAUGGGAAACGGGUUAAUAUUCCCGUACUUGGUGUUACUGCGAAGGGGGGACGGAGAAGGCUAUGUUGGCCGGGCGACGGUUGUCCCGGUUUAAGCGUGUAGGUGUGUGUUCCAGGUAAAUCCGGUUCACUUUAACACUGAGGCGUGAUGACGAGGCACUACGGUGCUGAAGCAACAAAUGCCCUGCUUCCAGGAAAAGCCUCUAAGCAUCAGGUAACAUCAAAUCGUACCCCAAACCGACACAGGUGGUCAGGUAGAGAAUACCAAGGCGCUUGAGAGAACUCGGGUGAAGGAACUAGGCAAAAUGGUGCCGUAACUUCGGGAGAAGGCACGCUGACACGUAGGUGAAGUGAUUUACUCACGGAGCUGAAGUCAGUCGAAGAUACCAGCUGGCUGCAACUGUUUAUUAAAAACACAGCACUGUGCAAACACGAAAGUGGACGUAUACGGUGUGACGCCUGCCCGGUGCCGGAAGGUUAAUUGAUGGGGUCAGCGCAAGCGAAGCUCCUGAUCGAAGCCCCGGUAAACGGCGGCCGUAACUAUAACGGUCCUAAGGUAGCGAAAUUCCUUGUCGGGUAAGUUCCGACCUGCACGAAUGGCGUAAUGAUGGCCAGGCUGUCUCCACCCGAGACUCAGUGAAAUUGAACUCGCUGUGAAGAUGCAGUGUACCCGCGGCAAGACGGAAAGACCCCGUGAACCUUUACUAUAGCUUGACACUGAACAUUGAGCCUUGAUGUGUAGGAUAGGUGGGAGGCUUUGAAGUGUGG
rnacentral:rRNA from 1 species